rnacentral:rRNA from 1 species
GGAUCAGGUAGGAAUACCCGCUGAACUUAAGCAUAUCAAUAGCCGGA